rnacentral:rRNA from 1 species
GACGAACGCUGGCGGCGUGCUUAACACAUGCAAGUCGAACGGAAAGGCCCUGAUCUUGUGGGGCGCUCGUGUGGCGCACGCGUGUGUGACACGUGUGUAUCAUGCCCUUGACUUUGGGAUAAAUUCACGAAAAUGGGGCUAAUACCGGCUAGGAGCUCAUGCAGCAUGGUGGGGGUUGGAAAGUUUCGGCGGUUGGGGAUGGUCUCGCGGCUUACCAGCUUGUUGGUGGGGUUGUGGCUUACAAAGGCUUUGAAGGGUAGGCGGCCUGAGAGGGUGACCGGCCACAUGGGUACUGAGAGAGGGCCCAGACUCCUACGGGAGGCAGCAGUGGGGAAUAUUGCACAAUGGGCGGAAGCCUGAGGCAGCAACGCCGCGUGCGGGAUGACGGCCUUCUGGUGGUAAACCUCUGUCUCCUGUGACGAAGCGUGAGUGACGGUAAUGGGUAAAGAAGCACCGGCUAACUACGUG